GACGAACGCUGGCGGCGUGCUUAACACAUGCAAGUCGAACGGAAAGGCCCUGCUUUUGUUGGUUGCUCGAGUGGCGAACGGGUGAGUAACACGUGAGUAACCUGCCCUUGUCUUUGGGAUAACUUCAGGAAACUGGGGCUAAUACCGGAUAGGAGCUCCUGCUGCAUGGUGUGGGUUGGAAAGUUUCGGCGGUUGUGGAUGGACUCGCGGCUUAUCCGCUUGUUGGUGGGGUAGUGGCUUACCAAGGCUUUGACGGGUAGCCGGCCUGAGAGGGUGACCGGCGACAUUGGGACUGAGAGAGGGCCCAGACUCGUACGGGAGGCAGAAGGGGGGAAUAUGGCACAAUGGGCGGAAGCCGGAUGCAGAAACGCCGCGAGCGGGAUGACGGCCUUCGGGUGGUAAACCGCUGUCGCCUGUGACGAAGAGUGAGUGACGGUAAUGGGUAAAGAAGCACCGGCUAACUACGUG
rnacentral:rRNA from 1 species